rnacentral:rRNA from 1 species
UCUACCUUAAGCCGCCGGGCUAACCCAGCAAUGGGAGGCAGRCGACCACGGUAGGGUCAGCGACUGGGGUGAAGUCGUAACAAGGUAGCCGUAGGUGAACCUGCAGAAGGAUCA